GACGAACGCUGGCGGCGUGCUUAACACAUGCAAGUCGAACGGAAAGGCCUGCUUUCCCUUGUGGAUUGCGGGUACUCGAGUGGCGAACGGGUGAGUAACACGUGAGUGAUCUGCCCCCAACUUGGGUAUAAGCCUGGGAAACUGGGUCUAAUUCCCGAUAGGACUGCAGGGUGGUGCCUGUGGUGGAAAACGAUUUUCUAGUGGUUGGGGAUGAGCUCGCGGCCUAUCAGCUUGUUGGUGGGGUAAUGGCCUACCAAGGCGGCGACGGGUAGCCGGCCUGAGAGGGUGGACGGGCACAUUGGGACUGAGAUACGGCCCAGACUCCGACGGGAGGCAGCAGUGGGGAAUAUUGCACGAUGGGCGGAAGCCUGAUGCAGCGACGCCGCGUGGGGGAUGACGGCCUUCGGGUUGUAAACUCCUUUCGACCGCGAGGAAGCCACCUGGUUGGAAGGGUGGUGACGGUAGUGGUAGAAGAAGCACCGGCUAACUACGUG
rnacentral:rRNA from 1 species